rnacentral:lncRNA from 10 species
GUUUGUUUCUGACUAGUAACUAGGAGCUCAGUGUCUUUGGCCUCUCACACUGACCUUAAGGCAAAUGCCUUUGAACCGUCCACUCCAGUCUGUCAAUCCUCCUUGAAGAAUGGUCCAGCCUGCACUGCUGCUUUUUACCAUCAGGGGGCAGUGGGGCCAUGAGUGCCCAGGGAGACAGGGAAGGAUGCUUAGCACCUGGCGAGUGGGAGGAAGUGUCUCUCAGUGUUUGCACUUAAAGCAUCUCAGUAGCUAGAUACUUCAUUGGUACGAAUGGUGUAUUUUCUUCUAAAUUUUGUGCAAUCCAAAAAGGCAGGAAGUUUGAUCUUAAUGCAUUUUCCAUGGUCAUCUAUUUCACUCUGAGCCAAGAAUUUAUUAGGAAAACGAAAAGAAUUGCAAGAAUAACUUUAGAUUGACAUUUCUCCAUUUUCCUACUUGUCGAAUAGGUUUGGUACGUGUUCUGAAGGAACACGGUGCCAGUUGAAAUGGUGCUCUGCUUUCUUCCCUGUUAUUCUGAAAUAGAUGUGCUUUUCACACACAUGGAUAGACCAUUUACUCCUGAUUUGUAUCUCAGGGACAAAUCUGACUUAUUAACACCAUUAUUUGUAAACUGCUAGCCUGGUUUCCUGUGCUGUUGUAACGCUAUCUUGAUGGGUUGCUGUGAAAAUGUGAAGAUGUCUGUCAGGCAGGAAAAAUUAUGUAAAAAUGAUGUGGGUAUAGAAAAUGGGAUCGACAAAAUGUAAUAAACUCCUCCUGGGCUGAACAGCAGAGCUGCAUAUGUAAUGAAGUACUUUAGGAUUACGUCACCUUUUAUAUAACAUCUGGCAGUGACUUUUAUUUCAGAGCUAAUUUGGAGAAGCCAGGCACUUUUCUCUUCCCCUCCCCAAGACUGCCUUUAUCUGAAAGACGAAAGAAGGAACUGUUACAUUUUGCAUGCAAAGAAAGCCAGAGUGGCUAGAUUACUCCCUUAGGGUAAUGGAGAAAGGAAAAAGAAAUUGAAAAAGGUCAGGUGAACAAAGCAGAAGGAAUGAAGAGGUUUGUGUGAUUCUUAGUGAAAUUGGACCAGUCUAAGCAACCAGACAGUGCAGUUCAGGAAACCAGGCUGAAGAAUGUGAAAUACAUCGCCCAAAGUCAGACACGGAGGAACAACUGCUUCGGAGCUAGCAAUUUCCUGAGCUGGAAUUGCACCACUGGCCUGUAGAAUCCAAACUGUUUUCUACCAGAACAACUCCUUCCCUGCAGGAAGCAGGGUGUGCACAGCUGAACCCUGGUCUGAGAAGGUUGAAGUCACUGACUCAGCCCCAGCAAGGAAGUUGCCCUUCGACUUCUGACCUCUGGCCCUGUUUGAAAACCAACUCAAAUCGUUUUUCUUUUUCAGAAGCUGCUUGCCUCCGCUUCACCUUCCACCAUGAUUGUAAGUUUCCUGAGGCCUCCCAGUCAUGCUUGCCGUUAAAACUGUGGAACUGCUUUACAACGAAUGUAAAAGACAAGUCUCAGGAAAAGAUGUAAUUUUAUGGAAGAAAAAAGAUAGAAAAUAACAUUACCCAAAUGAAAACAGAUGAAGAUAAAGAUCAUUUCUUGAACAAUAUCUUCACAUCAUGGCUGGGCAAAGUGGAAAGAGACAGAAAACUGAAAAGUGACAACUUAAAAACUUUCUUUAAACAUAUCACUCUGACACCAAUGUGUAAGAUGAAGUGGACAGGAAUGGAACUGUACUGGGAGGCUCUGACAGUUCGGGUGAGAAGAAAUGAAGGGGCCAGCAAGAAGAGGUCCCAAUCUGGGAUAUGCUUUCCUCAUGUUAAAGGGAGAAAAAGAUAUAUUGCUAAUGGUCCUGUAAGCAGAUGAGCAGAUGAACAGAAGAGCAGAAGAGCAGCACAGCCGAGAAGGAAUGAAUGGCACAGCAGAGAAGGAGAGAAGAGAAGGAGCAUCUGAACGUUGAGAGUUCAACUAGAAAUGGUCAGAGAGGAGACUGAUCAUGGGAUAGCCAAACUCCAGGAGAAGAUUAUGUUCCCACUCCAUCCCCUUUCCAGAUCCCCAAUCCAUCCCUCUGAGAGCCACCUCUACCACUCGAUAAAACCCCUGCAUUUACCAUCC